ACAUGGGUGACCUACCCCGCAGUGAGGAAUACCGGCGAGAAAUCGCCGACAAGACCGCAUAGCUCGGGCAACCGAGCAAAGUCGCAAGACGCUGAGGGAUGGGCCUGUGGCCGAUUAGCUGGUUGGUGAGGUAAUGGCUCACCAAGGCGACGAUCGGUAGCUGGUCUGAGAGGAUGAUCAGCCACACUGGGAUUGAGAACGGCCCAG
rnacentral:rRNA from 1 species